CUUUCUGAUGAAGUGACAUUCUCAAUUGACCCAUCACUAUAUGCACUGAAACAUAGCAUAAUUAAAAUGGAAAAUAUUAAAGAUGAAGAAAAGAUUCUGAAG
rnacentral:snoRNA from 1 species